rnacentral:lncRNA from 1 species
GUUGUGUCGUACUCUUUGCAAUCCCAUGGACUGUAGCCUGCCAGGCUUCUCCAUCCAUGUGAUUUUCCAGGCAAGAAUAUUGGAGUGAGUUGCCAUUUCCUUCUUCAGAGGAUCUUCCCAACCCAAGGAUCAAACCCGGAUCUCCUCUAUUGCGGACACAUCUUUCCCUUCUGAGUCACUAGGGAAGACUUUCUUUGCCACAAGAGAGGAGACAAAAGACUUCUCAAGGAAGAUGAGAAUAAUGACCCCUUCGAGCCAUCCAACAGAGUUUUCUACCCAGGGUAAUGUCCUUACUGUGUGUCCUCCAUAUAUCUUUGAAGAAUUAGGUUUCUCCCUGAAUUGAAGUUGAAAGGGUUAAUGUAGGAAGGAAGGAAAAUGUGGGAAAGAAAGCUGAGGAGAUUCUGACUAGAUUCAUCUGACUUUAUAUUCAUCUCUGUGGGAAAAAAAGAUGUUAGAAAGGCUGGCUUCUCCACAUGUGAGACUGUCUCAAAACUUGUGGGAUAAUGGGCAUGAACAGAUUAUUCAG